rnacentral:rRNA from 1 species
CGAAAGCCUGACGGAGCAAGACCGCGUGAGGGAGGAAGGCUCUUGGGUUGUAAACCUCUUUUCUCAGGGAAGAACACAAUGACGGUACCUGAGGAAUCAGCCUCGGCUAACUCCGUGCCAGCAGCCGCGGUAAUACGGAGGAGGCAAGCGUUAUCCGGAAUCAUUGGGCGUAAAGCGUCCGCAGGUGGCACUUCAAGUCUGUCGUCAAAGACUGGGGCUUAACCCUGGAAAGGCGGUGGAAACUGAAGCGCUAGAGUGUGGUAGGGGUAGAGGGAAUUCCCGGUGUAGCGGUGAAAUGCGUAGAGAUCGGGAAGAACACCAGUGGCGAAAGCGCUCUACUGGGCCAAAACUGACACUGAGGGACGAAAGCUAGGGGAGCG